rnacentral:tmRNA from 3 species
GCUUGUGGCGAUGUGCUAUACUGACGACAUCGUUGUAUAUCCUCUGAAUCGGAAACGUGUCUAAAUGGGGUUCGAUUCCCCACACUUCCACCAAGAAACGCUUUAGAUGAGGCGUUUGUUGAUGGGGGUGACCUGGAUUCGAAGACGGGCGGAAGUGCAGGCGGCAACGCGGGUUGGGACUACCCGGCAAGGCUUAGGUCUUGUAGAACAGAACGACAUGACAAUUGCCAACGAAAGCAAUUUCCGCCUCGCUGCUUAAGCAGGCCGGGGUCUAAAGGCACCCUGUAACCUAAGCCUUUGUGAGCCGCAGCAAUGCGGCUUGCCGGCGCCUCGAUGUACUCACGUGCAUC